GAUGAACGCUGGCGGCGUGCCUAAUACAUGCAAGUCGAGCGAACAGACGAGGAACUUGCUCCUCUGACGUUAGCGGCGGACGGGUGAGUAACACGUGGAUAACCUACCUAUAAGACUGGGAUAACUUCGAGAAACCGGAGCUAAUACCGGAUAAUAUAUUGAACCGCAUGGUUCAAUAGUGAAAGACGGUUUUGCUGUCACUUAUAGAUGGAUCCGCGCCGCAUUAGCUAGUUGGUAAGGUAACGGCUUACCAAGGCAACGAUGCGUAGCCGACCUGAGAGGGUGAUCGGCCACACUGGAACUGAGACACGGUCCAGACUCCUACGGGAGGCAGCAGUAGGGAAUCUUCCGCAAUGGGCGAAAGCUUGACGGAGCAACGCCGCGUGAGUGAUGAAGGUCUUCGGAUCGUAAAACUCUGUUAUUAGGGAAGAACAAAUGUGUAAGUAACUAUGCACGUCUUGACGGUACCUAAUCAGAAAGCCACGGCUAACUACGUG
rnacentral:rRNA from 1 species